rnacentral:miRNA from 1 species
CCCCAGAUGUUGCUGAACUACAACUCCCAUGAUUCCCUAGCUAGCUGAGUCAUUGAAAGAAUCAUGGGAAUUGUAGUUCAACAACAUCUGGGG